GUUAAGCGACUAAGCGUACACGGUGGAUGCCCUGGCAGUCAGAGGCGAUGAAGGGCGUGCUAAUCUGCGAUAAGCGCCGGUAAGGUGAUAUGAACCGUUAUAACCGGCGAUACCCGAAUGGGGAAACCCAGUGUGACUCGUCACACUAUCAUUAACUGAAUCCAUAGGUUAAUGAGGCGAACCGGGGGAACUGAAACAUCUAAGUACCCCGAGGAAAAGAAAUCAACCGAGAUUCCCCCAGUAGCGGCGAGCGAACGGGGAGGAGCCCAGAGCCUGAAUCAGCAUGUGUGUUAGUGGAAGCGUCUGGAAAGGCGCGCGAUACAGGGUGACAGCCCCGUACACAAAAGCGCAUGUGCUGUGAGCUCGAUGAGUAGGGCGGGACACGUGGUAUCCUGUCUGAAUAUGGGGGGACCAUCCUCCAAGGCUAAAUACUCCUGACUGACCGAUAGUGAACCAGUACCGUGAGGGAAAGGCGAAAAGAACCCCGGCGAGGGGAGUGAAAAAGAACCUGAAACCGUGUACGUACAAGCAGUGGGAGCCCCAC
rnacentral:rRNA from 1 species